rnacentral:rRNA from 1 species
AUUGAACGCUGGCGGCAGACCUAACACAUGCAAGUCGAGCGGAUGAAGGGAGCUUGCUCCUGGAUUCAGCGGCGGACGGGUGAGUAAUGCCUAGGAAUCUGCCUGGUAGUGGGGGAUAACGUCCGGAAACGGGCGCUAAUACCGCAUACGUCCUGAGGGAGAAAGUGGGGGAUCUUCGGACCUCACGCUAUCAGAUGAGCCUAGGUCGGAUUAGCUAGUUGGUGGGGUAAAGGCCUACCAAGGCGACGAUCCGUAACUGGUCUGAGAGGAUGAUCAGUCACACUGGAACUGAGACACGGUCCAGACUCCUACGGGAGGCAGCAGUGGGGAAUAUUGGACAAUGGGCGAAAGCCUGACCCAGCCAUGCCGCGUGUGUGAAGAAGGUCUUCGGAUUGUAAAGCACUUUAAGUUGGGAGGAAGGGCAGUAAGUUAAUACCUUGCUGUUUUGACGUUACCAACAGAAUAAGCACCGGCUAACUUCGUG